rnacentral:sRNA from 1 species
ACCAGACAAAGCUGGGAAUAGAAACUUCGUAUUUUCAAAGUUUUCUUUAAUAUAUUGCAAAUAAUGCCUAACCACCUAGGGCAGGAUUAGGGUUCCGGAGUUCAACCAAUUAGUCCUUAAUCAGGGCACUGUAUCCGACUAACUUAUACCAUUCUUUGGUCUCCUUGACUGUUACCUUAAAAACCCACUCGCGUUUCAAACCCCCCAUCCAUUCAGAUAUAGAGACCUUGCCUAACAAAGAUACUAUAGAGAAGCUAGAGGAAUUGGCAGCCAUCUUAUCGAUGGCUCUGCUCCUGGGCAAAAUAGGAUCAAUACUGGUGAUUAAGCUUAUGCCUUUCAGCGGGGAUUUUGUUCAGGGAUUUAUAAGUUAUGUAGGGUCUCAUUAUAGAGAAGUGAACCUUGUAUACCCUAGAUACAGCAACUUCAUAUCUACUGAAUCUUAUUUGGUUAUGACAGAUCUCAAGGCUAACCGGCUAAUGAAUCCUGAAAAGAUUAAGCAGCAGAUAAUUGAAUCAUCUGUGAGGACUUCACCUGGACUUAUAGGUCACAUCCUAUCCAUUAAGCAACUAAGCUGCAUACAAGCAAUUGUGGGAGACGCAGUUAGUAGAGGUGAUAUCAAUCCUACUCUGAAAAAACCUACACCUAUAGAGCAGGUGCUGAUCAAUUGCGGGUUGGCAAUUAACGGACCUAAGCUGUGCAAAGAAUUGAUCCACCAUGAUGUUGCCUCAGGGCAAGAUGGAUUGCUUAAUUCUAUACUCAUCCUCUACAGGGAGUUGGCAAGAUUCAAAGACAACCAAAGAAGUCAACAAGGGAUGUUCCACGCUUACCCCGUAUUGGUAAGUAGCAGCAACGAGAACUUAUAUCUAGGAUCACCCGCAAAUUUUGGGGGCACAUUCUUCUUUACUCCGGGAACAGAAAGUUGAUAAAUCGGUUUAUCCAGAAUCUCAAGUCCGGUUAUCUAGUACUAGACUUACACCAGAAUAUCUUCGUUAAGAAUCUAUCCAAGUCAGAGAAACAGAUUAUUAUGACGGGGGGUUUAAAACGUGAGUGGGUUUUUAAGGUAACAGUCAAGGAGACCAAAGAAUGGUACAAGUUAGUCGGAUACAGCGCUCUGAUUAAGGAUUAAUUGGUUGAACUCCGGAACCCUAAUCCUGCCCUAGGUAGUUAGGCAUUAUUUGCAAUAUAUUAAAGAAAACUUUGAAAAUACGAAGUUUCUAUUCCCAGCUUUGUCUGGU